rnacentral:rRNA from 1 species
UACGGGGGGGCAAGCGUUGUUCGGAAUUACUGGGCGUAAAGCGUGCGCAGGCGGUUUUGUAAGCCAGAUGUGAAUCCCCGGGCUUAACCUGGGAAUGGCAUUUGGGACUGCAAGGCUCGAGUGCGGCAGAGGAGACUGGAAUUCCUGGUGUAGCAGUGGAAAUGCGUAGAUAUCAGGAGGAACACCGAUGGCGAAGGCAGGUCUCUGGGCUGACAC